rnacentral:rRNA from 1 species
AGAGUUUGAUCAUGGCUCAGAAUCAACGCUGGCGGNNNNNNUAACACAUGCAAGUCGAACGAGAAAGUGGAGCAAUCCAUGAGUAAAGUGGCGUACGGGUGAGUAACACGUGGGUAAUCUGCCUUUUAGUGAGGAAUAACGAUGGGAAACCGUCGCUAAUACCGCAUGAGCCCCCUGACCGAAAGGAAGGGCGGGGAAAGUCGCAAGACGCUGAAAGAGGAGCCCGCGGCGAUUAGCUAGUUGGUAGGGUAAGAGCCUACCAAGGCUGAGAUCGGUAGCCGGCCUGAGAGGGCACACGGCCACACUGGCACUGAAACACGGGCCAGACUCCUACGGGAGGCAGCAGUGGGGAAUCUUGCACAAUGGGGGCAACCCUGAUGCAGCGACNNCGCGGNGCGAUGAAGCCCUUCGGGGUGUAAAGCUCUUUCGGCAGGGAAGAUUAUGACGGUACCUGCAGAAGCAGCUGCGGCUAACUACGUGCCAGCAGCCGCGGUAAUACGUAGGCAGCGAGCGUUGUUCGGAGUUACUGGGCGUAAAGGGUGUGUAGGCGGUUCUUUAAGUUUGGUGUGAAAUCUCCCGGCUUAACCGGGAGGGUGCGCCGAAUACUGAGGGACUAGAGUGCGGGAGAGGAAAGUGGAAUUCCUGGUGUAGCGGUGAAAUGCGUAGAUAUCAGGAGGNNNNCCGGUGGUGUAGACGGCUUUCUGGACCGUAACUGACGAGACACGAAAGCGUGGGUAGCAAACAGGAUUAGAUACCCUAGUAGUCC